AGGAGCAUCCAGAAUUGGUGAAGCCGCAGCAGGAAUUGAAGAACCUGAUGUUGUACUGCUCGAUGAUUGAUCAGGAGAACUGGUGCUUGAUCUUUGUGAAGAGUCUGGAGAAACAGUGAGAGUAUUCUGUGAAGCAAGAGGAGGAAAAUCAGCUUCUGAGAAACGAGGAGCAGAUGUCUGAUGAUAAACUCUUGUUUCUUCAGGUGUCUUCAAAAGGAAACAGGGUCUCAUCAAAUAGCACAUGUCUUGUGAUGUAUACACGACCAGUAGGGUUGAAGUUGGUAGAAGAUUGCUCAGAAAGGCUGCUGUGAAGAAGGCUUCUACCCAAUACUUCAAUGGCAUCUUACUGUCGAACAUCAUAGACAGCCCCAACUCGGUGAUGUGACGAUGCUUCCUCUCAGCAAGACCGUUCUGCUGUGGAGUAUGAGGGCAUGAGAUCUGUUGCUGAAUCCCAUCUUUUUGCAGGUGAUUCAGGAACGCAGAGCUGAUGAACUCUCCACCACCAUCACACU